rnacentral:rRNA from 1 species
UACGUAGGGCGCAAGCGUUGUCCGGAAUUAUUGGGCGUAAAGAGCUCGUAGGUGGCGUGUCGCGUCUGCCGUGAAAGCCCAUGGCUUAACUGUGGGUCUGCGGUGGAUACGGGCAGGCUGGAGGCUGGUAGGGGCAAGCGGAAUUCCUGGUGUAGCGGUGAAAUGACGCAGAUAUCAGGAGGAACACCGGUGGCGAAGGCGGCUUGCUGGGCCGGUACUGACGCUGAGGUGCGAAAGCGUGGGGAGCAAACAGG